UUUGUGUAUAUUUCUAUUUAGUUUGUGUAUCUAAAUUAUUGUUAAUUUUAUUGGGGAGCAGAAAGCUUGUCGGUAGUAGUAGUAGCGGUGGUGGGGAGGAAGGGACUUUUUGUCAUGUCAGCGAGGGGGCACGGCACAGCACGGCACGGCACACGACAGACAGCACAAAAAAGAAAACAGUGCGCAACACAGAAAAACACAACGGAAAUGGCGACACGGCAAAAACGACACGAAAAAAGUUAAUGGCACGUCCGACGAUCGCGACCUCUCGAGCGGGCGGAUGAGAUGAGAGUGGCCUGGACGAGGUUCAUGGUGGAACACUCAUGUGUCCGCCAACUCCCAUGCUCUCCACACUCGAGAGACCCGAUCGCCGAUCGUCAUUUACCGGUGCUCUCACCCCCGGUUCCACUUUCACACACCCCAAUAUUGAGUGAGAUGAAAAUGGUCCGAGGGCAGCAGCACCGACAAGUAGGCAAUGAAAAUUUAAUGGCUGUCUAAUGUUCUCUGUGCUUUCUUGUAUUGGCUGCUCUGUUGUAAGGGGAUGGGAUGGGAAGGGGAAAAUGCCUGCUCCCGUAUAACCGCCCGGAUACUUUAUACUUCCGGAUCGUAAGAUCCGGGCGCGUGUAGCUCCGAAGAGACGACCGCAUAGCAUCUUGUGGGCGGUUGAAGUGGCUUUAUUGGGGCGUGUGGCAGAGUGGCGAUGGUUGGCAGUGUGAAUUUUGAUCCUGCUCAGCCUCAUUUUUGGUUUUUAUUGGCAUUUAUGGUGGUGGGUGGGGGUGGGUGUGGAAUUGGCUGGGCGUAAAUUGCCGAAGUUGGCGGCCGAUAACACACUUGGCAUUGAUAAAUGCAUUUGAAUUUGAAAUGGCUUUUGUGUGUUAUCGGCGCGGUAUUUUCCUAAUUGGCGUGGUAUAUUUUGGUCAUUAAUGGCGUUGCCACUUGUCAGGUAUUUGGGAAUGGGUGAUAGUUGGGAAAGAAGGAGAAGAAGAGGAAAGCUAAGGACAAUCUAUCUACAAUUACUACAAAUAAGGACUACAAAACUACAGAGAUAUGUACAAGCAAGAGGACAACUACAACAAAGCACCGGCCAGCAUGGCAAACGCAAUGCAGAACAUUGCGCCGCAUACCGGCCGGCUCCGUUGUCCCCCUGUGCAGGAUUAGUGUCACCAUCUGGAUCUGUAGUGGCGAUGGCUGGACUUGGGAAUGGCGUGCAUCGUGGGCUCUGAUGGUGUUGUUGGCGAGCGGCUCUGUUCCGGCCGCCCACGUUGCAUCUGUCGCUGGUAGGUGUUGGCUGUUGCAAUCGAGUGGCACUGGUCCGGCCACCCAACUGCAUUGUCGUUGGCAUUGGCAUCGACGUGUGAUGCCAACGAUUUGUGUUGAUUGGCCGCAUCAAAGUGGCUGCUGGUCC
rnacentral:sRNA from 1 species